CUUCCUCUUCCAUGUAGGAUCAGGAUUUUGGUUUGAAUUGAUUUUUUUUUUAAAAAGUGCUAAGCAGAUGCUACACUGUAAGAAGAGGAAAGAGAAUCAAAAACUGAAAGAUUGUUACGAAAACUAAUGAAGAGCUGCAGAGAGUGGAGACCCGGCAAAGCAAACAAAUGAAUACUGAAAAGGAUCCCCAAAGGAGGUGUACGGAUCCGGGACUCUAAUGUCUGCCAGAAGAUUCAGCCACCUUCACAGGUUAGAGCUCACCGUCCAUUGCGGAGGU